CAGGAUGAAAGACAGCUGGGCCCGGGGGAACCACUGCCACCAAGCGCGGAGACCGGUAAGUGGCCCCGAAUGCCUGGACGGGCUGCUAUUAAUUGUAUUCGAGGCAAGGGGGCAGGGUAAGGGGUGUGAGUCAUCUCAAAUGAUUGAGAGGUCACGCGAGUCACGUGUCCACUGGACAGGGGGUCUUUCCCUUUGUGACAGCCGAGGCGGAGAGGGAGGACGGCAUAGGUCAGCAUUUCUUCUACGCACUUAUCAGAAGGAUCAAAGACUUUAGUACUUUUACUAAUUCUGCUACUGCUAUCUUCUAAGAACUUAAAAGGAGGAGCCAGGUGUACAGGCGGAACGUGAAAGUGAACAAGGAGCGUGACCACUGAAUGAAGCACAGCAUCACAGGGAGACGGUCCAGCCUCCGGACGACUGAGGGCGGGCCUGGCUAAUGUCAGGCCUCCCACAAGAGGUGCCGGAGCAGAGUGUUCUCCAUCUCCCCUGGAGAAAGGGAGAUUCCCUUUCCCGGUGUGCUAAGUAACGGGUGCCCUCCCGGGCACUGGCGUUACCGCUAGACCAAGGUCUGUUAAGUAAGGAGGGCCUUCCCAGGCACUGGCGUUACCGCUAGACCAAGGAGCCCUCGGCCCCUUAUCCGGGCGUGACCGAGGGCUCACACGCUUGUCUUCUGGUCACCUCUCACCGUGUCCCUCCAGCUGCUAACUCUCUAUGGCCCGGUUUUCCCUAGGUUAAAACAACAGAACAGAGAUUCUUACAGUAGUAGAACAAAGAGUAAUGCUGCAAACUAAUGAUUAGUAAUAGUCAUAUAUAAUCAUAUCUGUAUCCUACUUCUGGUAUAACUUUUCUUAUUCUGAUUAUUUUCUUUAUUAUACUGUAACAGCUUGUGCCUUCAGUCUCUUGCCUCGGCCCCUGGGUGGCUUGCCUACAAGGUAAGAUAUAUUGCAUUGAACUAUAGUUUGUGUUGAUUGCCGAAGGGUUUGGGGGGCACCCCUGAAAUUCCGCCCUGGAGGAGUGGCCUCACCCUAACCCCGGCCGUGCCUAAUGAUAAGGCCCACCUCUUACGGCCUUCGGCCGUCGAGUGAAAUAAAUGUUGGAGGUAAUGCGCCUAAAGCCCUCAGCCCUCAGCUCUCCGCCGAAGUUGGGUUAGGAAGGAGGAAGGGAGAGGUAAAUGCUGACCCCGCAGGCGGCAGUCUGUGCCUCGGAGAGAAACUUUAUCGCAACCUUGCCGGGGGCCUUGACGCCCGUCCUCCCGCAAGAGCACCCCGGCAGUCACCCGUGCCCUCUGGUGUCCUGCCACCCCGAGCCCGACCUUCCCCUUUACCCCGCGCGGGGCCAGUAACCUCCUAACUGCGUCUUCUCUGUUUCGGGCUGUCGUGCUCAUCACGUUUGCGUCGUUUCUUCGCUCCACAAACGUUUACUGAGCGCCUUCCACACGCCAGGCACCAGACUAGCGCCGGCAAACGGGGAUAAGUACUGGGGAGGGGUCCCAGCCCUCAGUGAUGGGAUUUCAGAGGGGGAGAUAAAGGAUUGCCCAGAAGGGUGGUGAGUGGAAUAGUUGAUAUAAACAACGGGGGUGCGACGAAAUACAUAGGAGGGCUGCUCGUCACGUAUGGGGUGAGUGCCCAGGGCCCUUAAUUAAGGGAGGCUUCCUGGACGGGUGACACCCAAGCGGAGUCCUGACAACCUGCGUCAGGAGUAGCCAGGCGAGGAGGAGGUGAAAGGAAUCCACGUCCCGAGCAGAGAGGCAGCUUUCCCUGCACAGCACAGGACACGGUCCGUGCACAGAAGCCACAGGAGACGCAGGCACAGGGGCUGGGGAGAAUCCUUGCCGGGCCCUCGCCAUCCACGCGCCGCCUCCCUCUGCCGGGUGUCUGGUGUCAGCCUCCCGCCCGGCAGAGGAACUCCAGCCCCUGCUCCCGGAAGCGCCUCCAGGCCUUCGGCUUCCCUGACUCGGAAUGGGCCCCUCGUCCGGCGGGUACGAGGCCGGUCUCCCCGCCCGCUGGUGACGAAGUAAAGGCCCGGCGCCGCCCGGGCUCCUGCCCUGGGACCUCGUCUUUCUCCAGGAAAAGGUGGACCGCUCUCCGCCGAGCGGUCUCUUCCACAGACCCCUCUCGCCUUCGCCCCCAGUCUCCUUCGGUUCUGUCUUCGCGCUGGCUGGGUAGAAACCAGGAAGUCGCCCCAGCGGAGCCCCCGGCUCCCC
rnacentral:lncRNA from 1 species